rnacentral:rRNA from 1 species
UAGAGUUUGAUCCUGGCUCAGAUUGAACGCUGGCGGCAGGCCUAACACAUGCAAGUCGAACGGUAACAGGAAGAAGCUUGCUUCUUUGCUGACGAGUGGCGGACGGGUGAGUAAUGUCUGGGAAACUGCCUGAUGGAGGGGGAUAACUACUGGAAACGGUAGCUAAUACCGCAUAACGUCGCAAGACCAAAGAGGGGGACCUUCGGGCCUCUUGCCAUCGGAUGUGCCCAGAUGGGAUUAGCUAGUAGGUGGGGUAACGGCUCACCUAGGCGACGAUCCCUAGCUGGUCUGAGAGGAUGACCAGCCACACUGGAACUGAGACACGGUCCAGACUCCUACGGGAGGCAGCAGUGGGGAAUAUUGCACAAUGGGCGCAAGCCUGAUGCAGCCAUGCCGCGUGUAUGAAGAAGGCCUUCGGGUUGUAAAGUACUUUCAGCGGGGAGGAAGGGAGUAAAGUUAAUACCUUUGCUCAUUGACGUUACCCGCAGAAGAAGCACCGGCUAACUCCGUGCCAGCAGCCGCGGUAAUACGGAGGGUGCAAGCGUUAAUCGGAAUUACUGGGCGUAAAGCGCACGCAGGCGGUUUGUUAAGUCAGAUGUGAAAUCCCCGGGCUCAACCUGGGAACUGCAUCUGAUACUGGCAAGCUUGAGUCUCGUAGAGGGGGGUAGAAUUCCAGGUGUAGCGGUGAAAUGCGUAGAGAUCUGGAGGAAUACCGGUGGCGAAGGCGGCCCCCCUGGACGAAAGACUGACGCUCAGGUGCGAAAGCGUGGGGAGCAAAACAGGAUUUAGAUACCUUGGUAGUCCACGCCGUAAAACGAUGUCGACUUGGAGGUUGUGCCCUUGAGGCGUGGCUUCCGGAGCUAACGCGUUAAGUCGACCGCCUGGGGAGUACGGCCGCAAGGUUAAAACUCAAAUGAAUUGACGGGGGCCCGCACAAGCGGUGGAGCAUGUGGUUUAAUUCGAUGCAACGCGAAGAACCUUACCUGGUCUUGACAUCCACGGAAGUUUUCAGAGAUGAGAAUGUGCCUUCGGGAACCGUGAGACAGGUGCUGCAUGGCUGUCGUCAGCUCGUGUUGUGAAAUGUUGGGUUAAGUCCCGCAACGAGCGCAACCCUUAUCCUUUGUUGCCAGCGGUCCGGCCGGGAACUCAAAGGAGACUGCCAGUGACAAACUGGAGGAAGGUGGGGAUGACGUCAAGUCAUCAUGGCCCUUACGACCAGGGCUACACACGUGCUACAAUGGCGCAUACAAAGAGAAGCGACCUCGCGAGAGCAAGCGGACCUCAUAAAGUGCGUCGUAGUCCGGAUUGGAGUCUGCAACUCGACUCCAUGAAGUCGGAAUCGCUAGUAAUCGUGGAUCAGAAUGCCACGGUGAAUACGUUCCCGGGCCUUGUACACACCGCCCGUCACACCAUGGGAGUGGGUUGCAAAAGAAGUAGGUAGCUUAACCUGCGGGAGGGCGCUUACCACUUUGUGAUUCAUGACUGGGGUGAAGUCGUAACAAGGUAACCGUAGGGGAACCUGUGGUUGG